rnacentral:rRNA from 1 species
ACUCCUACGGGAGGCAGCAGUGGGAAUAUUGCACAAUGGGGAAAGCCCAUCGAUGCAGCCAUGCCGCGUGAGUGAUGAAGGUUUUCGAAUCGAGUUAAAGCAUCUGUUAGUAAGGGAAGAAUUAAGGACAAAAAUAAGGAAAUGAGUUACUUUGUUCUUGACGGUGACCUUACCAGAAAGCCACGGCUAACUACGUGCCAGCAGCCGCGGUAAUACGUAGGUGGCAAGCGUUAUCCGGAAUUAUUGGGCGUAAAGCGCAUGUAGGCGGCUUUUUAAGUCUGAUGUGAAAGCCAGUGGCUCAACCACUGAAUUGCAUUGGAUACUGGAAAGCUAGAAUCUUGGAGAGGUAAGUGGAAUUUCAUGUGUAGCGGUGGAAUGCGUAGAUAUAUGAAGGAACACCAAUGGCGAAGGCAGCUUACUGGACAAGUAUUGACGCUGAGAUGCGAAAGUGUGGUAGCAAACAGGAUUAGAUACCCU